GUCGCCCCGCAGGGAGAAGUGGUCUCGCGCCCGGGCUGGUUCCAAGAAGUUAGCACCAUCAUGCCCAGGUAGCUGGUUUACGUUGGAGCAGGGAUUGAACCGAGGUGAAUCCGGUGCUCUGUACUGCCGUAGUGCUGUUUUGAUGGUGAGUACAUUAGUGUGCACUUUAAAAUAUAUAAAAAAUAUUUGGUCUAGACACAGAAAUUUUUUCGUUUUCUCUGCUAAGCAGCUAGGAAGUAUUUAACUCGGAAUUUUAAAGCUAAGAAUUUUACAUUUCUGCAUCUAUCAGGAAUACCAUACUCUCGAACUAUCACUUGAGAGGAGGACACUGAAAUGGCAAAGCACCUUUGACGCACAUGGCAGGCAUGCAGACUGGUACAAAAUGCCUUUUUUCUUACCGCAGUUUCGCCUUGGCUCUUGGCUCCGUCCUUGCAGCUUAUAUGUAUUGGCAGUCGUCUGGUGGCUCGGUGCUGUGCGAUAGCAAUCCUUCCCCUCCUCUUUCUUGAAGAAACUUACCUUGUUUGUUUGCUAUUUUGGUCCCCCCUCCCCCAGUUUAUAUCAGGAUUGUGUCAUGGGACUUCAAGUCCUUCACAUGCGUUUUAUUGGGGGGGCGGGGGGAAUAAAGCCAACUAUGGUUUGCAGCCUGCAGCCCUGGGAAGGAUCCUCCAUAGAAUGGCUUCUCUUUGGUGAUCUGAGGUCAGAUUUCAAGGAGAACCUUAAGGAAAGUAGCCGCAAGGCCCACAUUAUUGCUUCCUUGGGAUGAGUGGAUUGGGCUCAGUCCUGGUGGAGCUGCAUGUAGAGGGCACAUCCUGUUUCUCCCACUUCCCCUGGAGCUUCUCAGAGUCCAGUCUAAUAGUCUUAACUGACAUAUCACGUUUGUUUGUGAAAGAUUCCCAUCAGAAUUAGAGCGCAGUUUGGGCUUGGGGGGGCGGUCACAUGAGAGUUCUCGUUUUGUUUUUAUUCAAUCUAAAGGGGUGGCGACCCAAUAACCAAAAAUCCUAUUAAGGCUGGUAAAGAAUUGAAGGCAGCUUCUCCAGUAAGACAGAGGGAGAAAG
rnacentral:lncRNA from 1 species